UAUCCGAAGAUUCUCUUUAUUUCCAUUAAUGUCGCUCGCACAACGAGAUAAUCACAUAACCAGAAGAAUUUAUUGCAAAAGUAAGUACACAGAAAAUAAUUAUAUAGCACACAUACACAAAAGAGAGUAUGGUAUUAUAUUAGGCAGGUGUUGUACACUAAAUAUAGCAAGAAGGGUCCUAAUCCUGGAGUUCCGAGUGGGAGCGGAAGAGGAAAGCUUCCCUCUUACACAUCCACCUUUAUGUUAUAAUCCUCUUAUGUCACUCUGUGGAAAAGUGUUCAAAGCGGUCAAACACUGGCUGUGGUCCAUCGCGAUAAAUUAUCAGUCAGCUCUAUCAUCCGUGACACAAUGUGUGUGAAACAACCCGGGAGAUUGCGAUUACAGGCGGGAGAGGCAAACAGCAUUAUAACUUUGACAAUAUAUUCAUCUUGCACGAUUCUUCGUCGGGACGGGGAAUAAAAGGUCGUGGAAAAUGCACGUGCGAGCUCUGAGGUCUGGCCGCGUUAAAACUUUCUGAUCAAACAAAACUCCAUAAUCGAGAUAUAGUGGGACGAGCCGCGAUAGUGCACGUGGACAAGCAGACGAAGUAGAAGCCAUGUUUUGUUGAGAAUUUGCGUAACUUUAAUGGCAAUGCGAUUGUUACGGCUACGUUAAACUCUGUUCGUCGUCGGUUCGUAGAUGCGGCAGUAAUUCAUUUGAAACUCAAGCGCGUUUGCAAUUAUGAUUUACAAAUUUUUACAACGUUUUAUGACUUUUAAGUAAUUACGAGAAUCAUUUCUACAAGCUCGACAUCGCUAUUUACGAUACGAUUACGAUUACCUACCACAACCACAUCGUGCUCCUUCUCGAGGAAGCAACAGAUUGUGCGAAUACAAGCAACUCGGUAAACUUUGAAGCGGCGAUAUUAAAGUUACAACGCUCGUCGACUUGUUACGGCCUGAUACACGAAAUUCGCAUUAUCGCACGCUGAGCGAACCCGGCCAAGUAGCUGAACAAAUCCUGAGAGUGAUGCAGAUCAAGGAAGUCGAUUUAAUGUACCCUGAAUGUCAGAGUACUACUUUGAAGGAAUUUCAAAAUUCCGCAAGCGCGAACUUCACGAUGACGUUAAUCCUAUUUGCCAGCAAGCAUCAAUUCGGAGUGCUUAUAUAAUAAAUAACUCCCAGAAAUAUACCCGUUCAUACAAUGUAAGAAAAGUAGCAAAAUAGCCAACGAUUUUUCCUAUGAAAUUUCCAGCAAUCGACAUAAAACCGUCGCAGCUCGCGUAUAACGCAAUGGAAAUGAAAUUCUUCAGAAAGCAUUUUACGUCUUUCUAGCGAAAUAUGUAAUGUCGUGAAUUAGCCUCGUCUUUAAUUCCGCGUCGAAAUUAUGCAAGACAUCAACAGGCCGAGCAAACGCCAAAAGGAGUCGCCCUCCCAAAGCAAUUACCGGGCGCUUCCUUCGCCCGAAAUUUCUCGCAAUCCCGCUCGUGUGUUUCCCCGAGCAACUCCGACUCUCUCUCCCUCACGGUUGUCGCAUAUAUUAAAUUAAUGCCGCCCCUUGCCCUCAGAUCCCGUUCUUUGAUUUCUCCGUGACCGCUUUCAGUGAUACCUGGUCCCGUUGCAAUUACCGGCCGGCAAAUUACGUUGUCGCGCAAACAAUAAUUAAGAAGCCCCGCCACGGUCGGGGUGGAAGAUGGCUUUCGACCGAUGUAAUCGCGACAGCCUUCGCUUGCCCACCGAGGGAUGCACGGUUACUGACGCGGCAAGGUAUUGCCUACCGAAACCUAAAUCGAGCUCGCUUAAAGGGAUAAUCUCGGAAUUACAUCGUGAUGGAAAAAUACAAAUGGAGCACGCUGAAGACGACAGAAUUUCGAGGAAAGUUACGAGGGAAGAUUACUUAAUAAUUAUACAAUUGCGGACAGACGCUUGGCAACGUCGAAAUUUUAUACUGGUCGCUUUAUAUAAAAUACAUCAUUUGAUUAGCAAAAGAUCAGAAAUUGGCAAAAUCGAUGAAAUGAAGAAGAUUAACGAAAAUGGAGAAAGGAAAGAGGAAGGACGGCGGAAAUAGCGGAAUAAUUGACAGGCUCAUCUUGAUUCCUCUGGUAUCAUUCUCCACUUGUAAGACGGCAAUUAAUAAUGGAAUCAUAGUUUGGGGAACAACGAUACAACAAGAAAAAUCCACCAAAAUAGCAGAAAAAUGUAGCGAAAUUGGUCACCUUUGGCGAGAGAAGAAUUGUAUCGAGCGACGUCUUUGACGCAAUCAGUAUUUGCAUGAUAAAAACCGUUAAAUGUCACCGCAGGCCCUUCGUUCAUUUGUAUUCAUAAGCGAAUUUAUGUGUUACUGGGCGAGCUGCACAACGUAUCGAUUCGCUGGAGAUACUCUGUGUUGCACAAAGGAAGUUUAGAACACCGUCAGCCAUUAAGGUUGCAGAUAGUUUAAUAUGCGGUGUGGCAACCAAAUGUUCAUCCAAAAUUGCCUAUGUGUAUCUGUACGUACGUGUGUACGUAUGUAUAUGUAUGUAUAUGUAGGUGUGGAUUACGAAAGAUAGGGCAUCAUAUAAAAGCCUUGCCAACGAGGCUGGGUAAAUUCAUGCAUCAACGAAUACAGGAUCCCGCAUAAGCCUCAUAUUUGAUUUUGCGCAAGGGCUUAUCGUGAGUGAUCUGCAACGUUCAAAGUAUACGUAUCAUCCAAACAUUUACACAAAAUAAUGCGAAAUGAUGAUUUAAGAUAAAGCUAGAUUUAAGAAAAAAAAAACGUUCACAUAAAGAAUAACAACGACAA
rnacentral:lncRNA from 1 species